UUUUUUCUUUUUUUUAUAGAUAAAGCGCUCUACUAAGAUAAUGUG
rnacentral:tRNA from 1 species